UACGGAGGAUGCAAGCGCUAUCCGGAAUGAUUGGGCGUAAAGCGUCCGCAGGUGGCUAUGUAAGUCUGCUGUUAAAGAGUGAGGCUCAACCUCAUAAGAGCAGUGGAAACUACAUGGCUAGAGUGCGUUCGGGGCAGAGGGAAUUCCUGGUGUAGCGGUGAAAUGCGUAGAGAUCAGGAAGAACACCAGUGGCGAAGGCGCUCUGCUAGGCCGUAACUGACACUGAGGGACGAAAGCUAGGGGAGCGAAUGGG
rnacentral:rRNA from 1 species